UACAGAGGGUGCGAGCGUUAAUCGGAAUUACUGGGCGUAAAGCGCACGUAGGUGGCGACGUAAGUCGGGUGUGAAAGCCCCGGGCUCAACCUGGGAAUUGCAUUCGAGACUGCAUUGCUGGAGUACGGAAGAGGAAGGCGGAAUUCCCGGUGUAGCGGUGAAAUGCGUAGAUAUCGGGAGGAACAUCAGUGGCGAAGGCGGCCUUCUGGACCGUAACUGACGCUGAGACACGAAAGCGUGGGUAGCAAACAGG
rnacentral:rRNA from 1 species